ACGCGCUGCCUUUGAGCCCCGUUGUGCCUCCGCGUGGCGCUGUAGGUCAGGCUGCAGCGCCAGAGCACUGGCUUGCGAAUAACUGGGGCCACCUGUCUCCUCCGCGGGUGGCCCUUUUAACAUCGAGCGACACAG
ensembl:snoRNA